rnacentral:misc_RNA from 1 species
AAGUCGUAACAAGGUCUCCGUUGGUGAACCAGCGGAGGGAUCAUUACCGAGUUUUCAACUCCCAAACCCACCGUGAACAUAUACCUUUGUUUUCGUUGCCUCGGCGGUUCGCGCCGCCGGGUGACACCUAAACCCUGAUUUAAUUACAGAAGUCUUUCUGAGUAAAAACAUUCUAAAUGAAUCAAAACUUUCAACAACGGAUCUCUUGGUUCUG